UCUGCUGAAGUCCGCCUGUAAUAGAAGUUCUUAAGGAAUUCGCUUACAGUAGAGGUUUGGGGCAGACCGCUUGUAGUAGAAGCUCGGAUGGAGAUCGAUUGUCGUAGAGUUCGGAGUGGACCGCUUACUGUAGAUGCCCGAAGCAUACUGCUUGCAGUAGAAGCUCAGAUGAAAUCUGGAGGGCAGUCGACCAUCGUAGAAACUUGGAUGGAGUCUGGUUACUGUAGAAAGUCGGCUGAUAAUAAAGCCCAGAGAGCAUUUGAAGCAGUCCAGU
rnacentral:lncRNA from 1 species